rnacentral:rRNA from 1 species
CGACCUCAGGUCAGACGUGCGACCCGCUGAAUUUAAGCAUAUUAGUCAGCGGAGGAAAAGAAACUAACGAGGAUUCCUCAGUACGGCGAGGAAGAGGGAAGAGCCCAGCGCCGUCCCCGCCCGCGGUGGGCGCGGAGGUGUGGCGUACGGAGCCCCCUCCCCGGCGCCGCUCUCGGGGGGCCAAGUCCUUCUGAUCGAGGCCCAGCCCGCGGACGGUGUGAGGCCGGUAGCGGCCCCCCGGCGCGCCGGCCGGCUCUCGGAGUCGGGUGCUUGGAAUGCAGCCAAGCGGUGUAACAGAGGCAAAUACCGAGAGACGAUAGCCAACAAGUACGUAAGGGAAAGUGAAAAGAACUUUGAAGAGAGAGUUCCAAGGAGGGCGUGAACCAGUUAAAGAGGUAAAGGGUGGGGUCCGCGGCGCGGCGGAGGAUCAACCCGGCGGGCCAAGUCGGCGGCGCGGGCGGCGUCGGAUCCCCGCCUCCGCCUCCCCUCCUCUCUGCCGGGGCGGGGGGGCCAGGGGGCGGGCGGGCCGGGACCGCGCCCGCCGGCUCCGCCCGUCGGGCGAUUCCCGCGGCGGUGGCCGCGACGGCUCCGGGCGGCUGGGAAGGGCUGCCGGGGGGCAGGUGGCGGCGCGCGCGAGGGCCGCCGGUGUUAUAGCGCCGGCCCGGAUCGUCGCCGAAUCCCGGCGAGAAGACCGCCGCGCCCUCCCCGAGGGGGCGGCCCCCCGAGGCCCCCCGCGCCGACCGGCGUCGGGCCGGCCGCGCGCGCGCGCGUCCGCGCGCCGCCGCCGUACGCCGCCGCUCGCUCUCUCUCCGUUCCCCCCCGGGUCCGUCCGGGCGCGGGGGCGGGGGGGUCGGGUGUCCGGCGCGCGGCUCGGCGCGCGCGCGCGUGUGCGCGCGCCUCCAGCCCGGCGCGGGCGAGGCCGCGGGGCGCCGGGGGGAACCUUCCCCCUUCUGUUCGGCCGCCUCCGUUCCCGCGGGGCGGCCCGUUCGGGGACGGGCCCGCCGGCCCCCGGCGCCGCUGUCCGACCGGGCGGACUGCGCUCAGUGCGCCCCGACCGCGCGGCGCCGCCGGGCGGCUCGGGCCACGCCAGGGCGCCCGGGUCCGCGCGCGACGUCGGCUACCCACCCGACCCGUCUUGAAACACGGACCAAGGAGUCUAGCACGCGCGCGAGUCGGCGGCUCGCGCGAAAGCCCGCGGCGCAAUGAAGGUGAGGGCCGGCGCGCGCCGGCUGAGGUGGGAUUACCGAGGAUCCUUCGCCCCCCCCGAAACGACCCUCAACCUCAUCCUCCUCCAAACUUUCAAGCGUCCACCAACCGCCCGGUUCGAAACAUCGCUGGCGGCCUGGAGCCGGAUAUCGCCGUGGAACAAUGACAGAGUCGCACAAGUGGGCCCCACGGUGUGGAGGAGAUUGGUAAGGGGGGGGGGGGGCGAACGGUGGCGCGGCGGCGAUCAAGCCGAUGUGACGGAGGCCAGAAGUCGGAACCAGCUAAGGAGUCGUGAACCCUGCCGACAACUAGCCCUGAAAUGGAUGGCGCGGAGCGUCGGCCAUCGGCGUCGCGCGGUGCGGAGGCGGCACGCCGCGACGAGUAGGGGCCGCUGCGUGCGCCGGAAGCUGGGGGCGGGCCCGGGUGGAGCCGCCGCAGGUGCAGAUUUGGUGGUAGUAGCAACUAUUCAAACGAGAGCUUGAAGGCCGAAGUGGAGCAGGGUUCCAUGUGAACAGCAGUUGAACAUGGGUCAGUCCGUCCUAAGCGAUAGCGAGCGCCGUUCCGAAGGGACGGGCGAUGGGCCUCCGUUGCCUCAGCCGGAUCGAAAGGGAGUCGGGUUCAGAUCCCCGGAAUCGGAGCGGCGGAGACGGGCGCCGGCGAGGCGCCCAGUGCGGUAACGCAAGCGAUCCCGGAGAAGCCGGCGGAGCCCCGGGGAGAGUUCUCUCUUCUUUGUGAAGGGGCCGGCGCCCUGGAACGGGGUUCGCCGCCGGAGAGAGGGCCCCAGCCCUUGGAAAGGCGUCGCGGUCUCCGGCGCGUCCCGGUGAGCUCUCGGCUGGCCACCGAUGAAAAUCGGGGGAGAGGGUUGAAAUCGUCCGCGCCCGGGCCGUACCCAUCUCGCGCACGACAGGUCUCCCCAGGUGAACAGCCUCUGGCAUGUUGGACCACAUGUAGGUAACGGAAUCGGCAGAGCCCCGGAGUUCCCGUUAACUACGGAGAUAAGGAUUGCUCUAAGGCUGGGUCCGUCGGGCUGGGGCCGCUGGUAAGCGGCGCUGGCGCUGGGUCGGCCGCGGCUCGCGAAGAAGCGAGGCGCCCGGCCGGACCGCACGCCCCGGCCCCCCCUUUCCCCGCUCCCCGCUCGGCCGGGGGCGCCCGGGGGGGGGGUCAGCGGGCGGCGCGGCGGCGGCGACCUCUGGACGCGCGCCGGGGCCCUCCCGUGAUCGCCCCAGCUGCGGGCGGGCGCCGCUCGCCCCCCCUCACUUGCCCCUCCGCCCACCCGCUCCGCGGCGCCACUCAC